UGGGGGUUCGAGAACCUAAGAAAGUGAACCUUUUCACUGGAGGAAGGGGGGCGGAAAUGUUUUAUGUGCUAGGGAUAACACCGUUCUCAUGAUGUUGCGCGCGCAUCCAAAAUACAAUAGACUGGCGGGACACAGCUGAUCUGAAAUGGCGUACAAAGUGGAUUUUACAGACGAAGCUAUAGAAAGUGCUGACAGAGUGCUUCUUUUGCAGUGUUUUGGACCUAGAGUCAAAUUUCCCUUUGUCCGCAUCAUUUUGGAUCAGCUAUGGCCCGCCAAUCUGUGGCAUUUUGGACGCGCACGGAAGAUCACAAAAACGGUCCUUGUACCUGUCGCUGUUGGGAUAUCGCAAAUGCACAAAUAUUCUUAUAAUAAUAAGCACGUGAUAAGGGGGGUUUGAGGGCAUGCUUUCUCCUUGGGACUUUCAACUCCUGCAUUUUCCACAAGCUUUAUAAACGACAAUUCUUCAGGGGAAGAUCCCCAUAAAUUACUUCAGGAAUAGCGCUCCUACUCAUGCCGCAUGUCCGCUGCUAUAAAAAUCAAGUACCACUGCCAGCUGGGACGAAAUAACCAAGGGAAAAUGGUCAGCUAAAUGGGUAAACGAAUCCAAGCUCAAAGUUGUAGCCUGAGGCCUUUUCCACCUGUGGGCAUUACUACGCGACCACCGGAACUCGAUCGGCGAUUGGAGAAUCGCCAAUUCCAGCGGUAGCGUAGCAUUUCAUACAGUGGUAACCGUGAUAUAUUCUUUCUGUAUUUUAGGUACAAAUUUUGUUUUACCUCGGAUAUUUGGGGGGAGGUGUGGGUAAAUUUUGCUCUCUCAAAGCUGUUGUUAUAAAUGUCACUGGAUUUACUAGUGACUAGAGCUAAUAUCAUACAUUUAUCAUUGCUUUGAGCACAUACAUGUGUGACCGGGUGGUAUUUUGGGUUAUUUUAGAUUUUGCAAAAAUUUUAAUUAAGCGAUUUUUGGAUUGCGAUUAUAAUUGUUUUACGUAUUUUACGGAUUGUUUGUCAAACGUGAUUCUAAUUCGAUCCGUACACGUUUAGGAAUUUACUUUCAACAUGUUUCAAAUUCCUUUAGAUUAGUAUCAAUAGCUUGAUAGUGCUAAUUGAAUCAAGUAAGCGUCCUUUUACCAUUUCCCAGGAAGAUUUGUUUCUAAAUUUGACAGGACAAUGAACGCUGAGUAAUUUGAACGGUAGUAAAUGUUAGCGUCCCUAGAAAAAUGCGCGUCCCCAAGCGAGUAUAAAAUCGGCUGUUUUAACAGUAUUAGUUAGUUUUUUUUUAGUUUAGUACCGUUGAGCAAAGGAGACGCAUUGCUUGCGCGGCGUGAUGCGGGAGCGAGAUAUGCAGUUGCUCAGGGAAGACAGUCAGCAGAGAUAAGCUACAAGCUUUGAGCGCUGUUCGUACGGGCCUGUCAUGCCAGUUGUGUUCAGUUUGAUUUACCGGUUAUUUUUUUUGGGCAAAAAUCAUAAGAAUCCAAGAUGGCAGAUCCAAGAUGAGGGACCCGAGAAGAUGGCGGAAAUUCUUACCAAAAAAGGAUUAUAAACGUUUUUAUGGCCUUUUUGCAUUGUGAAGCCGUUAAAAGGUUUAUUCUGACAUAUCUCAAUGAUGUAAGAUGAUUUAAACCUUAUAUUUGAUAAUAUAGGCAAAAUUUGAAAUAAUA